CGUAGGCGCGAGCGUUGUCCGGAAUUAUUGGCGUAAGAGCUUGUAGGCGGUUUGUCGCGUCUGCUGUGAAAGCCCGGGCUUAACCCCGGUUGGUCAGUGGUACGGGCGAGACUAGAGUGCAGUAGGGAGGACUGGAAUUCCUGGUGUAGCGGUGAAAUAGCGCAGAUAUCAGGAGGAACACCAAUGGCGAAGGCAGGUCGUCUGGGCUGUAACUGACGCUGAGAAGCGAAAGACAUGGGAGCGAACAGGAUU
rnacentral:rRNA from 1 species